UAGCGCUCCGUGUGUCUGCGCUGAGGCGGCGGGGCUCAUCGGGAGGAGCGGCCCUUCCUCGGGCCGCCUGCAGAAAGGCCGGGCUGCGCUGUGCCGGAGUGGCGCGCGGGGUGGGAUCGAAGCUGAGACGGCCCCGCUAAGGUACAGAGCGCUGCUGGGCCGCUUAGCCCUAUGGGGAGAGGUUCCCGCUGCUUCCUAACGAGGUUCAACAAGGCCGAGUGCCGGGUCCUGCACGUUGGCCACGAUAACCCCCAUGCAGCGUUACAGGCUUGGGGGUUGACUGGUUGACUGUUAAGAGGAAAUGGACCUGGGGGUGCUUGGCUGAACACGAGCCAGCAGCGUGCCCUGGGCCAGCGGCCUCCUGGCCUGCAUUAGAAAUAGUGUGGCCAGCAGGAGCAGGGAGGUGAUCAUCCCCCUGUAGUCAGCUGUGGUGAGGCCGCACCUCGAGUGUUGUGUUUGGUUUUAGGCCCCUCACUGCAAGAAAGACAUUGAGGCCCUGGAGUGUGUCCAGAGAAGGGCAACGAAACUGGUGAGGGGUCUGGAGUACGAGUCUUGUGAACAGUGGCUGAAGGAGCUGGGAUUGUUCAGUCUGGAGAAGAGGAGGCUCAGGGGAGACCUCACUGCACUGUACAACUUCCUGAAGCUCCUUGUGAUGAGGAGGGGUUUGGCCUCUUCUCCCAGGCAACAAACAGGACUCGAGGAGAUGGCCCCAAGUUGUACCAGAAGAGGUUUAGGUUAGACAUAAGGAAGAACUUUUUCUCUCAGAAAGAGAAACAGAAUUAGGAUAGGCUAACGGCUGCCCAGAGUGGUGGCGGGGCCACUGUCCCUGGCAGUGUUCAAGAGGCGUCUGGAUGAGGAGCUGCGAGAUCUGGUUUAGUGCUUGUGGUAGCAGUGGUGAUGGGAGGGCGGUUGGAACCAGAUGAUCUUGCAGGUGGUUUUCAACCUUGUGAUUCUAUGAUUCUAAAGCUGUAGUCCAACUCUGCUGCUGCUCUGUGGCACGAAGCUCUGAGCAGUGUUCUGUACUGUUAUCAUAAGAGAAGUCCGAGCCAUGCAGUGUGAUUUGUUACUGCUAGGUGAGACAGGAUGCGCUUUGGUGAGGAGAUGGGCAGUGCUGGAGCUGCCCCUUCUGCUUCUAAAAGUGUGUCCUACGUAGGAUGUAAACCCUGCUGGCUCUUCCUCACUGCAGGUGCUUGGAGGAUCUCAAGGUCUUGUGGAACUCAGGAUGUCUGUCAUUGACUACCCGGAAAUUCCCAAGUACUGUGAAUUACAUGAAACAAUUGGAACGGGGUGACUUGCCUCGUGUUAAAACAGAAAUUGAUGCCAUGAAGAACUUAAGUCAUCAAGAUGUUUGCCAAUUGUAUCAUGUAAUAGAGACAUCAAAGAAAACAUUCAUGGUCUUGGAGGGAGGCCUUGAUUACAACCUGAACACGUGCCGUGGAAGCCCAGCAUGUGCAGCACCAGAGCUAAUCCAGGGUAAAGCCUAUAUUGGCUCAGAGGUAUGCAGACCAGAGUUUGUUUGUUUUACACCUCUCCCCUCUUUCCCUCCCCAGAGAGCGUUUAAAGGCAGUGGAGCUCAGAUACGCUCACUUGGUUCCCCUCCUGACUUCUGCUGGGUUGCGUUGCUUAGUAGCUCUCAGAAGCUGUCAGUGGCCACAGACUGAAAAGUGCAAUGGGCCGCAGUUCACACGGCUGGCUGGUUUGUCUCUGGCUGAUCCUCAUCUGUCUCCACCAAUUGUUCCCUACUUUGGGGCUCUAUGAAACAGCAACUUCGGAGAUCUCCUUCUAUUAGUCAGUUUUUGAAAGAGCAAUUUGCUCUGUUAAUUGUCCAUCAUUUGUCAAACUUUUGUGCGGUCUCAGGAUCUUACAUGUUUUGUUAGACUUGUCUUUAGCUUCCAAGUUGUGUGUGAAGACUUGCUUCCAUUGUAAUGCACAAUGUACUAAAAAUUGAGAGACGAAAACGUGAAGAGUUUUUCCAGCUUUGAUUUCAUGUCUAGAACUUUGGAACCCACUACUUGCAGUUGUUAAUCUGUCCAAACUGGUCUGGUUUGAAAUGCCCUCAUACUUCUUGAAUUGCUCUGCUGUUAAAGAUGGAGCAAUUCUUUCAGGUACCAUUGCACCGCUGUUGAUGGCUUCUAAUUCUUGCUUUAUUUGUUUUCCACAGACUGCUUCUCAAGCCUCCUUUUUCUUUACAGUCAAAGUGAGAAUGGCAUUGUGAGGUGUACGAACCUUGUUGUGCCUGUACACAAAGAGAACAGCAGCAGAGCCUCAGAGCUGACUGCUGACAGCUCUCGUUGUAGCCAGUAACAUGUAACUGUGCCAAAUCCUUUGUGAUGGGUUUGAUUUCGUUUUUGCCAGUGAAAUCCUUGUAGGUAUAAGGUACUGCAGAAGGGUGAUGAGCUAAGAUGAAGAUAUUGGUUUUAGUAGUGCUUUAAGUUGAGUGGAAGAACAAUUGAAUUAGGGUCAUAUGGUUCCAGAGAAAGCAUAAGGUUUUUUUCGUGAGGGAAAGAGCCAGCUUUUCGUAGGCUGUGUGUGGCCUUUGGCAAGGGCAGGCAAUACAAUCUGUCAGUAAGGCAUUUUAGGUGCUUCAGGUUUGUAAACUUGUCCUUUUAUUUUUUUAGGCAGAUUUUUGGAGCAUGGGAGUACUGCGGUACGCUCUGUUGUGUGGGUUUCUUCCUUUGGAUGAUGACAAUGUGAUGGCACUCUACAGGAGGACAACAGGAGGUAUCGAUGGUGCUAGAAUACACUGAGAAGGGAAAUAGCUGAGCAUGACAAGAGGCCUUGCUUUUCUGAUGACAGAACAUGCUGAGCUGUACUGUGUGUGGAAAGGCCUGUCUGCUGACUAUUGUCCCCUUUUUUUUUUUUUUGCUGCUUUGUCUACCAGUAUUUUGUGGAUUUGGUUCUACACUUGGUUGGCCUAUGUAGCCUGAUUAUAUAAUGUGAUAGCAUGGAGAGUUUAAGGAGAAGUAUUUACUUCCCAAUGGGCUAAUUUUUGUAUCUGGUUCUUCAACUGGCUGCUCCCUAUUACUACCUGUAGUAAAGAUACAAAUACAUCGUUUGAUUUACCAGAAAUUAAUGUUAUUGAAUGCCAAUUCUUCUCAUGUCUAGGAAGAGCAAAGUUCUGCAUCUACUAUCAGAAUUUCCUCUUCAGAAUCAGGAGGAAAUGUAGGGACCCCACUGAUUGCCUUCGAAUUCAGCAGUUCGUUCUGUUUCCUUUCAAGCGCAUAACAUCCUGAGAGUGUUAAUCAAGAGACAUGGCUUUUUAGUCUGGUGUGAACUAUGUUGUGAAUUGAGCCUUUGUCCCUUUGUAAUUAGGACUUUGUCCAUUUCUGCAGGACUGCAGAAAAUCCUUUGUGCUAAUCAACACUCCAAUUUGCAGAACGUGGCAAAUGGAAAAUGAUCCAACUGCUUCAGGUGUACAUUUCCUUAAAAUUGUGAAUAGUUUUGGACUGAGAGUUUGUUAGCAGAAUGGAGCUCUUGAAGCUGUCCAAGAUUGUUUCUGCACCACUUAGUUCUAUCUGUCUGAUGCACACUGGAGCUCAGGGCUGCAUUGCUUGAACUGGUGGAACUUGUUUAAGUGAACUGGGACGAGCAAGUUUCAGAACUGAGUCAGAAUGCAGUAAAAAAUGGAUGAUCUCACAAGUAUUAAGAUACUGGCUUGCUAUUUCUGCACUGAAUUUGUUUUAAUUGUAUGUGGCUGUGAUCUGAGAAGUGCUUGAAAUGCAGACACAGAGGCAUUGUUGUGUAAUUGACUUUCGCACGUUACAGAUCCUGAAAUAUCCUGGAAUCUAAAACUCAGAAUUGGUUUAAGUCUACUGCUUGACUCUAAUCAGGAUCAUAGCAUCUGUGUUCAGUGUUCUUUUUCCUGUAAUGCUCCACAUCACUUCAUUUGGGAAGUACUUAAGGAAAUUGACUAUGUGCCAUAACUGUUGUUAGAACAAAGUAUUUCUGGUGUGAUCUUAGGCAUUUUGUAGCUCUUGUGAGCAGUUUUCCUUCCAGCAUUGCCCUCAGCCAAUUACGUGUUAAUUUUUACCAUUAAAUUUAUUCAAGCUAUUCUUAAAGCAGAGUUUGUAAUCUCUGUUCCUGUGCUUUGAAAGAAAAGAGAUGUCAAUAUCAUCCAAAUAAUUUAAUAGUUCCUUUUGAGCUAGUUGUUCAAGGUUCAUUCUCAAUCCUCUCUUAUUUUAGUUAAGAAAAUAACUUUUUUAUUGCAGAGAGGAAAAUACACUGUUCCAAAAUGGCUUUCACCUAGCAGCACGCUGCUACUUGACCAACUGCUACAGCUGGGGCACCUUGAUGAAGACUGUGUUACAGAACUUCCUGUGUUUCACAACCAGAGCAGAGUAUAUCGGCAUUAAUAUCGGAGGUGGAAUUAUGACCGGAUGUCACAACCUAUCUCUUGAUUCAAUCCAGGAAGGUUCGUGGCAAGCGCAUCCACUUAAGAAUUCCAUCACAAACGACGUGCCAGUAAAACACAGCCAGCAAGCCAGAGGGUGUCAUUCUGUGGAUUUAGAUCUCAACCUAGCUCAUGUGGAGAGCAGCCAAAAGAAGAGAAAGGCCAAACGACUUGGAAGUCAUCAAAGAGGCCUGGAUAAAGUGAUUACGGUGCUUACAGCAGGCAAAAAAGGAAGUGAUUCAGCAGACAUGGGCCAAGAAAACUUAAGAGUCUUAUGAUGAUCAUACCGGGGAGCUGAAGCAUUUGUCUGCAUGGUUGGAUGUUCUGCAGCUUUCAGCGUGAAAAGGCACACUAUGAUGUUACCAUGACUCAACUACUGAAUCCAGACCAAGUGCUGAAUGAAAUAAUCUCUGUCCUUUUCAAAGAUAGGGUAAGUGGAAAACAGAAAGGCUUCACCUUAUAUGUGCCUAAAUGGUCAGUUCCAUAGCCCUUGAAACAAACAAAUAUUUUAAUUUGCUUUCUCUGCCCCACUCUGUAAAAUACAAAAAUUUUAGAAAAAGCAUAGGGAACAUAAAUGGAUAUAUGCAAGAAAAAUUGUCCACACGAUGCAAAACAGUGUUAAAUGAGUUAAAUGAGCUCACGUAGAGCUCUCUGACGAAUAUGAAGCAGUAAUGAUGAUGUAGCACUUAGAGGCCGAUGUGAGUGUUGUCUGCUCCUGUAAAAAUGUAAGUACAAAAGGUGAGCUGUACAGCUGGGAGAGAGACUGUGUGUAACUGUAACGCUCAUUCUUGGUAGUUAAAACACACAAAUAUUUGGCCAAGAGAUCACAGAAUUACAGAAUCCUCAGAGUUGGAAGGGACCUCUGAAGGUGACACUGUUGGAUUUGGGCUUUCGCAGCUCUCAGCUGACUUCAUCCUGGGCUGUUUUCUCAGUAAUAUAAAUGCCAGUGGAGUACUUCAAUGAAGUGCUUUUAUUCAUUUGAAAUUGCCCAGUGCUAGCUUUGAAACAUGAUUAAAUGAUUAUUCUGCUUCUCCUUUGCUUUGUACAGCUACACCCUGAAAUGCCAAACAAAGCCAGAUUUUGGCAAAGAAUCUAUGAAAUUUGAGCUAGAAGCGUGUCAGCUCAGUAAGAAUGAAGCAGUUGGUAUCAGAAGACAGAGGCUCAGAGGGGAUGCAUGGGUCUGCAAGAGACUGGUGGAAGACGUUUUAUCCAGCUGCCAAGUGUGACUGCUGCUCAGAAAGCCACAAUGCUGUGCUGAGACUCUGAUCAUUAUUUUAGAAAAAUCACUUUGGAAAUGUAAUUUGUGAUCUCCUUCACAGCUGUAUUUCAGAAAUCUUGUCAGCUCUUACAGUUUUAACCACCCCCUUUGUGUAUAUGCCCACUACAUGUUUCCUUUUCUUACAAAAACUGUCGACUUUUCCUAUACGUUCUGCAGAUGUAGCUCGACUGAAAUAAAAUUCCUUAAACUAC